rnacentral:tRNA from 1 species
GAACAUAUGCUUAGUGGUUAGAGCACUUGCACUGUUUCCAAGAGGUGCGGGUUCAAAUCCCUUUAUAUAUC